AUAGGGUCAAGUGAAUAAGUGCAUCAGGCGGAUGCCUUGGCGAUGAUAGGCGACGAAGGACGUGUAAGCCUGCGAAAAGCGCGGGGGAGCUGGCAAUAAAGCUAUGAUUCCGCGAUGUCCGAAUGGGGAAACCCACUGCAUUCUGUGCAGUAUCCUAAGUUGAAUACAUAGGCUUAGAGAAGCGAACCCGGAGAACUGAACCAUCUAAGUACCCGGAGGAAAAGAAAUCAACCGAGAUUCCGCAAGUAGUGGCGAGCGAACGCGGAGGAGCCUGUACGUAAUAACUGUCGAGAUAGAAGAACAAGCUGGGAAGCUUGACCAUAGCGGGCGACAGUCCCGUAUUCGAAAUCUCAACAGCGGUACUAAGCGUACGAAAAGUAGGGCGGGACACGUGAAAUCCUGUCUGAAUAUGGGGGGACCAUCCUCCAAGGCUAAAUACUCAUCAUCGACCGAUAGUGAACCAGUACCGUGAGGGAAAGGCGAAAAGAACCCCGGGAGGGGAGUGAAACAGAACCUGAAACCUGAUGCAUACAAACAGUGGGAGCGCCCUAGUGGUGUGACUGCGUACCUUUUGUAUAAUGGGUCAACGACUUACAUUCAGUAGCGAGCUUAACCGGAUAGGGGAGGCGUAGGGAAACCGAGUCUUAAUAGGGCGAUGAGUUGCUGGGUGUAGACCCGAAACCGAGUGAUCUAUCCAUGGCCAGGUUGAAGGUGCCGUAACAGGUACUGGAGGACCGAACCCACGCAUGUUGCAAAAUGCGGGGAUGAGCUGUGGGUAGGGGUGAAAGGCUAAACAAACUCGGAGAUAGCUGGUUCUCCCCGAAAACUAUUUAGGUAGUGCCUCGAGCAAGACACUGAUGGGGGUAAAGCACUGUUAUGGCUAGGGGGUUAUUGCAACUUACCAACCCAUGGCAAACUCAGAAUACCAUCAAGUGGUUCCUCGGGAGACAGACAGCGGGUGCUAACGUCCGUUGUCAAGAGGGAAACAACCCAGACCGCCGGCUAAGGUCCCAAAUGAUAGAUUAAGUGGUAAACGAAGUGGGAAGGCACAGACAGCCAGGAUGUUGGCUUAGAAGCAGCCAUCAUUUAAAGAAAGCGUAAUAGCUCACUGGUCGAGUCGUCCUGCGCGGAAGAUGUAACGGGGCUCAAAUCUAUAACCGAAGCUGCGGAUGCCGGUUUACCGGCAUGGUAGGGGAGCGUUCUGUAGGCUGAUGAAGGUGCAUUGUAAAGUGUGCUGGAGGUAUCAGAAGUGCGAAUGUUGACAUGAGUAGCGAUAAAGCGGGUGAAAAGCCCGCUCGCCGAAAAGCCCAAGGUUUCCUACGCAACGUUCAUCGGCGUAGGGUAAGUCGGCCCCUAAGGCGAGGCAGAAAUGCGUAGUCGAUGGGAAACAGGUUAAUAUUCCUGUACUUGAUUCAAAUGCGAUGUGGGGACGGAGAAGGUUAGGUUGGCAAGCUGUUGGAAUAGCUUGUUUAAGCCGGUAGGUGGAAGACUUAGGCAAAUCCGGGUUUUCUUAACACCGAGAAGUGAUGACGAGUGUCUACGGACACGAAGCAACCGAUACCACGCUUCCAGGAAAAGCCACUAAGCUUCAGUUUGAAUCGAACCGUACCGCAAACCGACACAGGUGGGCAGGAUGAGAAUUCUAAGGCGCUUGAGAGAACUCGGGAGAAGGAACUCGGCAAAUUGAUACCGUAACUUCGGGAGAAGGUAUGCCCUCUAAGGUUAAGGACUUGCUCCGUAAGCCCCGGAGGGUCGCAGAGAAUAGGUGGCUGCGACUGUUUAUUAAAAACACAGCACUCUGCCAACACGAAAGUGGACGUAUAGGGUGUGACGCCUGCCCGGUGCCGGAAGGUUAAUUGAAGAUGUGCAAGCAUCGGAUCGAAGCCCCGGUAAACGGCGGCCGUAACUAUAACGGUCCUAAGGUAGCGAAAUUCCUUGUCGGGUAAGUUCCGACCCGCACGAAUGGCGUAACGAUGGCCACACUGUCUCCUCCCGAGACUCAGCGAAGUUGAAGUGGUUGUGAAGAUGCAAUCUACCCGCUGCUAGACGGAAAGACCCCGUGAACCUUUACUGUAGCUUUGCAUUGGACUUUGAAGUCACUUGUGUAGGAUAGGUGGGAGGCUUGGAAGCAGAGACGCCAGUCUCUGUGGAGUCGUCCUUGAAAUACCACCCUGGUGUCUUUGAGGUUCUAACCCAGACCCGUCAUCCGGGUCGGGGACCGUGCAUGGUAGGCAGUUUGACUGGGGCGGUCUCCUCCCAAAGCGUAACGGAGGAGUUCGAAGGUUACCUAGGUCCGGUCGGAAAUCGGACUGAUAGUGCAAUGGCAAAAGGUAGCUUAACUGCGAGACCGACAAGUCGGGCAGGUGCGAAAGCAGGACAUAGUGAUCCGGUGGUUCUGUAUGGAAGGGCCAUCGCUCAACGGAUAAAAGGUACUCCGGGGAUAACAGGCUGAUUCCGCCCAAGAGUUCAUAUCGACGGCGGAGUUUGGCACCUCGAUGUCGGCUCAUCACAUCCUGGGGCUGUAGUCGGUCCCAAGGGUAUGGCUGUUCGCCAUUUAAAGUGGUACGUGAGCUGGGUUUAAAACGUCGUGAGACAGUUUGGUCCCUAUCUGCAGUGGGCGUUGGAAGUUUGACGGGGGCUGCUCCUAGUACGAGAGGACCGGAGUGGACGAACCUCUGGUGUACCGGUUGUAACGCCAGUUGCAUAGCCGGGUAGCUAAGUUCGGAAGAGAUAAGCGCUGAAAGCAUCUAAGCGCGAAACUCGCCUGAAGAUGAGACUUCCCUUGCGGUUUAACCGCACUAAAGGGUCGUUCGAGACCAGGACGUUGAUAGGUGGGGUGUGGAAGCGCGGUAACGCGUGAAGCUAACCCAUACUAAUUGCCCGUGAGGCUUGACUCUAU
rnacentral:rRNA from 1 species